UACGUAGGUGGCAAGCGUUGUCCGGAAUUAUUGGGCGUAAAGAGCGCGCAGGCGGUCCGUUAAGUCUGAUGUGAAAGCCUACGGCUCAACCGUGGAGGGGCAUUGGAUACGGGGGAACUAGAGUGCAGAAGAGGAAAGUGGAAUUCCAUGUGUAGCGGUGAAAUGCGUAGAGAUGAGGAGGAACACCAGUGGCGAAGGCGACUUUCUGGGCUGUAACUGACGCUGAGGCGCGAAAGCGUGGGGAGCAAACAGG
rnacentral:misc_RNA from 1 species